rnacentral:rRNA from 1 species
AUUGAACGCUGGCGGCAGGCUUAACACAUGCAAGUCGAACGAGUGGCGGACGGGUGAGUAAUGCUUGGGAAUCUGGCUUAUGGAGGGGGAUAACUACGGGAAACUGUAGCUAAUACCGCAUACCAUAGGAUGAGCCCAAGUGGGAUUAGGUAGUGGGUGGGGUAAAGGCUCACCAAGGCGACGAUCCCUAGCUGGUCUGAGAGGAUGACCAGCCACACUGGAACUGAGACACGGCCCAGACUCCUACGGGAGGCAGCAGUGGGGAAUAUUGCGCAAUGGGCGCAACCCUGAUGCAGCCAUGCCGCGUGAAUGAAGAAGGCCUUCGGGUUGUAAAGUUCUUUCGGUAGCGAGGCGUUACUUACAGAAGAAGCACCGGCUAACUCCGUGCCAGCAGCCGCGGUAAUUC